CUGAUCCCUCCCUGCUGACCUCCGGCGCCCCGAGGCCGCUGGCUGCUGGGGCUGUGCCCCGGUGGCCCAGCUCAGGUAACCAGGCUGACGGCCCAUCUCCCUGGGCUUUUCUGCAGUAGCUCAGGAGUAUCAGGAAGCCAACCCCAACCUUGGAGGACCUCUGAGAGUCCAGCACCCACCAGCAAGAAAGGCUGCAGUCUGCUAACAAGUGAAGAGGAGUAGACAAUGAACGUGUCCUCUUAAAGAUAGCACUAACCAGGGAGCCCCACCCUCAGAAUCUGGGAGCUACAAGUGCUGCUGGUUGAAAGCUGAUGAUCACAGCCGAUAAUAAAGUUAAUUGUUACCCAGGUAGUGUCUUAUGGUUUACAAGUGAAACUUCUUUUAUGCUCUUGACAAAAUAGUGACCCCCAGAGUGUGGAUGUGUCCUCUAGAAAGUACAUGGGACAGCCCUGGAGGUAGGUAGUAGGCCCAGAGACACCUGUGGGUGGGCACUUUGUGACUUGCCCAGAAAGGCCCUGGGGUGGAAAUCCAGCCUGCAGCCUUAAGGGUAAAGGGCACAGGUACCCAGACAGGAGGACAGUGAAGGAGAGGGUGGAGGGUAAUCAGGUCCUGAUGUCCAACCCCCUCCGGAUGGUAGCUCCAGGGUGAUUCGGGGAGGCUGAGCAGGGGAGGAGGUCAGGCUUGCUGCCUGCUGGGAAUAGCACCCUGACACCUGAGAAACCAGGUAGGGAGCCCUUUGGAAGUCAAGGUCUGGAUUUGAGCAGACUGGACCUCUUCAUGUGUACUUGGCCAAGCC
rnacentral:lncRNA from 1 species